UUGCCUAAUCAAAGUGCCUUUGCACAGAAGGCAAGAGGAAAACGCACAGCUCCCAGAACGGAGGCUGCUCCGUGCGAAUCUCUCUGUGCCUCUCAGUUAAUGAUGGGACAUGUUCUUGCCGCGGAGACUCUAAACGUGCGUCUCUCGUUCUUUAGAGAUCGGGACUGGAACCGGGCGGGUAAGCUGAUUUGUCCUGGCUGGGAGAAUAUUUUGUGUGGGCUGCAUCCUACCCCCCUAGAACACGGCUGAAGAAGACGCAGCUACUGUGCUCCAUAUACAAUAGACCGAAAGACACGCUCCAAAACAGACUUUGAUGUAACAGCUCUAAAAUGUCUGUCUGGCGUCAGAGGCAGGUCAUUCUGCAACACAUGUGGGUGGUCACCGGCUGUUUCUCACCUCAGUCAAGCCUCUGGUUGGAUACAACGGCACCUACGGUUACAGAAGAAACACUCCAUCUCUGCGCAGGCAGCCUUCACUGUUUGGGCUAGUCACCAACUUGCCAAUUCACUAAGGGCUGGUCUAUGCAAAAAUUUGCACCAAACUAAUUAAAUUGGUUGUAAUCCACA